rnacentral:lncRNA from 1 species
UUGAGUAAGUGAAGGAUGAAUUUUAUUAAUGAAAAUUGAUUACAAGGAAAGCACCAAAGUGCCAGCAACUAAAUCCUAAAGGACUUAGUUAAGUUUCUUAGAGAAACUUUAUAAACAUAGAGAUUUCAACUACAGUCUGCAAUACUAUCGUUACAAGCCUUUAUUUAUAAGCCAAAAGGUCCUACUACUAUUCAUACAUAACAUUAUUCACAGCACUAUUCAUUAUAGCACUAUUCAUCCCAACACUAUUCACCCUUACAUAAAGGUCGACCGGAUCAGGACUCACAACCACUGCUGCAACCCAUGCACCCCGAACCAGAACGCGUGCUACAAUUGAAUCUCAUUCUCCUUUAACACCCUUUUCCUUUAAAACAUACUAAACGUACUACAGGUGAUGCAUCACCACUACGGCAAACCAGUACACCACAUAUCCCCCACCAAAACCGUGCCCACUUCACCUCCUCCACAUAGAUCUGUAACAGAUCAGUACAAUGAGAAAAACAUAAGCAAGACAGGGACAAGUCGAACAAACGUGGGCUAGGAGCAGGAACAAAUCGCAAAACAUGACUGGAGGAAACUAAAAUAAAACAAAGAAAAGAGAGAAAAUCUACAUUUCGGCGGUCGCACCACCAGAUGCGGCGGCGCCGGCGACAGAACCCCCACCUGA